GACGAACGCUGGCGGCGUGCUUAACACAUGCAAGUCGAACGGACAGGCCCUGCUUUUGUGGGUUGCUCGAGUGGCGAACGGGUGAGUAACACGUGAGUAACCUGCCCUUGACUUUGUGAUAACUUCAGGAAACUGGGGCUAAUACCGGAUAUGAUCUCCUGCUGCAUGUUGGUCGUUGGAAAGUUUCGGCGGUUGGGGAUGGACUCGCGGCUUAUCCGCUUGUUGGUGGGGUAGUGGCUUACAAAGGCUUUGACGGGUAGCCGGCCUGAGAGGGUGAACGGCCACAUUGGGACUGAGAGACGGACCAGAAGCCUACGGGAGGCAGCAGGGGGGAAUAUUGCAGAAUGGGCGGAAGCGUGAUGCAGCAACGCCGCGUGCGGGAUGACGGCCUUCGGGUUGUAAACCGCCGUCGAAUGUAACGAAGAGGGAGUGACGGUAAUGGGUAAAGAAGCAACGGCUAACUACGUG
rnacentral:rRNA from 1 species